ACAAACUUGGUCAUUUAGAGGAAGUAAAAGUCGUAACAAGGUUUCCGUAGGUGAACCUGCGGAAGGAUCAUCAAUGAAUAUUUUUUAAUCAUUCAUUUGAUUAUGGAAAGAUAAAAAAAUAGGGAUUAUAAUUAAUUUUAUAUUCUCUAAUUUUUUCUCUUUCCAUUUUAUUUUAAAAACACCACACAUAUAAUAUUUUUAUAUGUGUCCUCGUUAUCAAUGAUAUGGAACUGAUAAAAAUAUUUAAUUAUUUUUACAACUUUUAACGAUGGAUCUCUUGGCUCUCGCAUCGAUGAAGAACGCAGC
rnacentral:misc_RNA from 1 species